rnacentral:lncRNA from 1 species
AUGUAUCCCCAUGCCCGGUUACGCUGUAUGUGCACCUGCAACAGGUGUACAUUUUGCAUCUGUCAGAACUUCCUCAACUCAGACUUGCUGCAAUCUGUAAAGAACAAAAUCUUCACUGCAGUUCUUAACAGGCAUGAAAACAGCCCUGGAAGUCUGCCCUGGCGCCUGCACUGAGACUAAUCCAGGUCACUUUAGGGAAACUGCCCAGCUCUGGCACCGCACUGUGUGUCUGUCAGCUCUGUGGGGUGCUAUGGCCUCAUUUUCCCACUAGAGGACACUGUGGCUCCAGGACUUCAUGUGGCGCCCAGCCAGUCUUGCUACUCCAGCACCUCUAAGGAGGCAAAGCCUUUAGUGUGCAUUUAUUAGGUACCAACUGGGUGCUUUCUGUAUCAAGCAGAGAAAUAAAAGAGGUCAAACACAA